rnacentral:rRNA from 1 species
AACGAACGCUGGCGGCAGGCCUAACACAUGCAAGUCGAGCGCCCCGCAAGGGGAGCGGCGGACGGGUGCGUAACGCGUGGGAACGUACCCUUUGCUACGGAAUAGCCUCGGGAAACUGGGAGUAAUACCGUAUGUGUCCUUCGGGAGAAAGAUUUAUCGGCAAGGGAUCGGCCCGCGUUGGAUUAGGUAGUUGGUGGGGUAAUGGCCUACCAAGCCGACGAUCCAUAGCUGGUUUGAGAGGAUGAUCAGCCACACUGGGACUGAGACACGGCCCAGACUCCUACGGGAGGCAGCAGUGGGGAAUCUUAGACAAUGGGCGCAAGCCUGAUCUAGCCAUGCCGCGUGAGCGAUGAAGGCCUUAGGGUUGUAAAGCUCUUUCAGGGGGGAAGAUAAUGACUGUACCCCCAGAAGAAGCCCCGGCUAACUCCGUG